GGAUGGGUGGCCGAGUGGUUAAGGCGGCAGAUUCAAGUCCUGUUGACGUAAAGUCGCGCGAGUUCGAAUCUCGCCUCAUUCA
rfam:Candida tenuis ATCC 10573 unplaced genomic scaffold CANTEscaffold_00002, whole genome shotgun sequence.